GCACAGAGUUAGCCGGUGCUUCUUCAUUGAGUAACGUCAGCUUACCGGGGUAUUAACCCGGCACAUUUCGUUCCCAUCGAAAGUGCUUUACAACCCGCAGGCCUUCUUCACACACGCGGCGUCGCUGGAUCAGGCUUUCGCCCAUUGUCCAAUAUUCCCCA
rnacentral:rRNA from 1 species